AUUGAACGCUGGCGGCAGGCCUAACACAUGCAAGUCGAGCGAGCGGCGGACGGGUGAGUAAUGUCUGGGAAACUGCCUGAUGGAGGGGGAUAACUACUGGAAACGGUAGCUAAUACCGCAUACCAUCAGAUGUGCCCAACUUGGAUUAGCUAGUAGGUGGGGUAACGGCGCACCUAGGCGACGAUCCCUAGCUGGUCUGAGAGGAUGACCAGCCACACUGGAACUGAGACACGGUGCAUACGCCUACGGGAGGCAGCAGUGGGUAAUAUUGCACAAUGGGCGCAAGCCUGAUGCAGCCAUGCCGCGUGUGUGAAGAAGGCCUUCGGGUUGUAAAGCACUUUCAGCGGGGAGGCGUUACCCGCAGAAGAAGCAACGGCUAACUCCGUGCCAGCAGCCGCGGUAAUAC
rnacentral:rRNA from 1 species